CAGGUUGACCUCGGAUCAGGUAGGGAUACCCGCUGAACUUAAGCAUAUCAAUAAGCGGAGGAAAAGAAACCAACAGGGAUUGCCUCAGUAACGGCGAGUGAAGCGGCAAGAGCUCAAAUUUGAAAUCCGGCCCCCCUGGGGGCCUGAGUUGUAAUUUGCAGAGGAUGCUUCGGGCGCGACCGCGGUCCAAGUCCCCUGGAACGGGGCGUCGUAGAGGGUGAGAAUCCCGUCUCCGGCCGGCCGGUCUCGCCCGUGUGAAGCUCCUUCGACGAGUCGAGUUGUUUGGGAAUGCAGCUCCAAAUGGGUGGUAAAUUUCAUCUAAAGCUAAAUACUGGUCGGAGACCGAUAGCGCACAAGUAGAGUGAUCGAAAGAUGAAAAGCACUUUGAAAAGAGAGUUAAACAGCAUGUGAAAUUGUUGAAAGGGAAGCGCUUGCGACCAGAGUCGGCCGCGGGGGUUCAGCGGGCAUUCGUUGCCCGUGCAAUCCCCCGCGGCCGGGCCAGCGUCGGUUUCGACGGCCGGUCAAAGGCCCCCGGAAUGUGUCGCCUCUCGGGGCGUCUUAUAGCCGGGGGUGCAAUGCGGCCAGUCGGGACCGAGGAACGCGCUCCGGCACGGACGCUGGCUUAAUGGUCGUCAGCGACCCG
rnacentral:rRNA from 1 species